rfam:Hordeum vulgare subsp. vulgare, WGS project CAJW01000000 data, contig: morex_contig_158707
AUGGAAGUGAGGAUCCUUUCCCCAUAUGAUAGACUAUGAUUAUACUGUGCACACAUGUAAUCCUUAUCAGUGGGUUCCAAGCCAGAAAUCUGAUGCAU